rnacentral:rRNA from 1 species
GACGAACGCUGGCGGCGUGCUUAACACAUGCAAGUCGAACGAAGCUUGAUUACGGAUUCUUCGGAUGAAGUAUGAUAUGACUGAGUGGCGGACGGGUGAGUAACGCGUGAGUAACCUGCCCUUCAGAGGGGGAUAGCGUUUGGAAACGAACGGUAAUACCGCAUAAUGUAUUUUGACCGCAUGAUCGAAAUACCAAAGAUUUAUCGCUGAAGGAUGGACUCGCGUCUGAUUAGGUAGUUGGGGGGGUAACGGCCUACCAAGCCGACGAUCAGUAGCCGGACUGGGUGGUUGAUCGGCCACAUUGGGACUGAGACACGGCCCAGACUCCUACGGGAGGAAGCAGUGGGGAAUAUUGCACAAUGGGCGCAAGACUGAUGCAGCAACGCCGCGUGAAGAAAGACGGUUUUCGGAUUGUAAACUUCUGUUCUUAGUGAAGAAUAAUGACGGUAGCUAAGGAGCAAGCCACGGCUAACUACGUG